rnacentral:rRNA from 1 species
GUUUGAUCCUGGCUCAGGACGAACGCUGGCGGCGUGCCUAACACAUGCAAGUCGAACGGAGAUAUUAGAUGAAGCUUGCGAUUCUAGUAUUUUAGUGGCGGACGGGUGAGUAACGCGUGGGUAACCUGCCCAUAAGUGGGGAAUAACAGUUGGAAACGGCUGCUAAUACCGCACAAUCUGAGCGAUCAGAAAAGGUGGCCUCUUAACAAUGCUACCGCUUAUGGAUGGGCCCGCGUCUGAUUAGCUGGUUGGUGGGGUAAAAGCCUACCAAGGCGACGAUCAGUAGCCGGCCUGAGAGGGUGGACGGCCACACUGGGAUCUUGAGAGAACACGGCCCAGGCUUCCUACGGAGGCAGCAGUGGGGAAUAUUGCGCAAUGGGGAAACCUGACGCAGCGACGCGCGAGCGAAGAGGCCUUCGGGUUGUAAAGCUCUGUUUUUAAGGGACGAACGUUCAUGGCAGUAACUGGCUAUGAAAUGACGGUACCUUAAGAGGAAGCCCCGGCUAACUACGUGCCAGCAGCCGCGGUAAGACGUAGGGGGCGAGCGUCGUCCGGAAUUACUGGGCGUAAAGAGCACGUAGGCGGGAACUUAAGUCAGGUGUGAAAGACCGGGGCUCAACUCCGGGGUGGCACUUGAAACUGGGUUUCUUGAGGGCAGGAGAGGGAAGCAGAAUUCCUGGUGUAGCGGUGAAAUGCGUAGAAAUCAGGAGGAAUACCAGUGGCGAAGGCGGCUUUCUGGACUGACCCUGACGCUGAGGUGCGAAAGCGUGGGUAGCAAACAGGAUUAGAUACCCUGGUAGUCCACGCUGUAAACGAUGGAUACUAGGUGUAGGAGGUAUCGACCCCUUCUGUGCCGCAGCUAACGCAAUAAGUAUCCCGCCUGGGGAGUACGAUCGCAAGGUUGAAACUCAAGGAAUUGACGGGGGCCCGCACAAGCGGUGGAGCAUGUGGUUUAAUUCGAUGCAACGCGAAGAACCUUACCAGGUCUUGACAUCCAAAGAAUUCUUACGAAAGUAGGAAGUGCCUUUCGGGAGCUUUGAGACAGGUGUGCAUGGUGUCGUCAGCUCGUGUCGUGAGAUGUUGGGUAAGUCCCGCAACGAAGCGCAACCCUUGCUAUUAGUUGCUAACAGGUAGAGCUGAGCACUCUAAUGGGAACUGCCGUGACAAGUCGGGUAGAAGGUGGGGAUGACGUCAAAUCAUCAUGCCCUUUAUGAUCUGGGCUACACACGUGCUACAAUGGAUGGUACAAAGAGAAGCAAAGCCGCGAGGUGGAGCGAAUCUCAAAAAGCCAUUCUCAGUUCGGAUUGGAGUCUGCAACUCGACUCCAUGAAGUCGGAAUCGCUAGUAAUUGCGAAUCAGCACGUCGCAGUGAAUGCGUUCCCGGGCCUUGUACA